rnacentral:misc_RNA from 1 species
AAUUUCUCAACCUCACCAGCUUUUGCUGAGUGUAGGCUUGGAUGUGGGGGUUGCAGGUCCGCUAACGUGGUCUGCUCCUCUGAAAUGUAUUAGUGGGUUGGGCCCUAAUCUAUUGGUGUGAUAAUUAUCUACGCCGUGGAUUUGGGUGGCUGACUUAGACCCGCUUCUAACCGUCCUUCACCGGGCAACUCU